CGGUGGCUAAUACCGGAUGNNGCCGAAGAGGUAANANGGCUUGCCGCCUGAGAAUGAGCANCGCGUCUGAUUAGCUAGUUGGGGGUGUAAGNGACCACCAAGGCGACGAUCAGUAGCUGGUCUGAGAGGAUGAUCAGCCACACUNGGGACUGAGACACGGCCCANACUCCUACGGGAGGCAGCAGUGGGGAAUUUUCCGCAAUGGGCGAAAGCCUGACGGAGCAAUACCGCGUGAGGGAGGAAGGCUCUUGGGUUGUAAACCUCUUUUCUCAGGGAAGAAAAAAAUGACGGUACCUGAGGAAUAAGCAUCGGCUAACUCCGUGCCAGCAGCCGCGGUAAUACGGAGGAUGCAAGCGUUAUCCGGAAUGAUUGGGCGUAAAGGGUCCGCANGUGGCACUGUAAGUCUGCUGUCAAAGAGCAAGGCUCAACCUUGUAAAGGCAGUGGAAACUACAGAGCUAGAGUACGUUCGGGGGCANANNGAAUUCCUGGUGUANCGGUGAAAUGCGUANAGAUCAGGAAGAACACCGGUGGCGAAAGCGUUCUGCUANGCCUGUACUGACACUGANGGACNANAGCUAGGGGAGCGAAUGGGAUUA
rnacentral:rRNA from 1 species